rnacentral:rRNA from 1 species
AGUGAACGCUGGCGGUGCGCCUAAGACAUGCAAGUCGAGUGGGUUUAGACCCACGGCGAACGGCUGCGUAACACAUGGGUACCUACCCCGAACUCAGGAAUAACCUCCCGAAAGGGAGGCUAAUGCCGGAUAGUCCCGCAAGGGUAAAGCUUUUGCGGUUCGGGAGGGGCCUGUGGCCUAUCAGUUAGUUGGUGAGGUAACGGCUCACCAAGACAAUGACGGGUAGCUGGUCUGAGAGGACGACCAGCCAGAAUGGAACUGAGACACGGUCCAUACUCCUACGGGAGGCAGCAGUUAGGAAUCUUCCACAAUGGGCGAAAGCCUGAUCCAGCUAUGCCGCGUGUGUGAUGAAGGCCUUAGGGUUGUAAAGCACUUUCACCGGAGAAGAUAAUGACGGUAUCCGGAGAAGAAGCCCCGGCUAACUUCGUGCCAGCAGCCGCGGUAAU